rnacentral:rRNA from 1 species
AGUGAACGCUGGCGGUAGGCCUAACACAUGCAAGUCGAACGGCAGCACAGUAAGAGCUUGCUCUUACGGGUGGCGAGUGGCGGACGGGUGAGGAAUACAUCGGAAUCUACUUUUUCGUGGGGGAUAACGUAGGGAAACUUACGCUAAUACCGCAUACGACCUACGGGUGAAAGCAGGGGAUCUUCGGACCUUGCGCGAUUGAAUGAGCCGAUGUCGGAUUAGCUAGUUGGCGGGGUAAAGGCCCACCAAGGCGACGAUCCGUAGCUGGUCUGAGAGGAUGAUCAGCCACACCGGAACUGAGACACGGUCCAGACUCCUACGGGAGGCAGCAGUGGGGAAUAUUGGACAAUGGGCGCAAGCCUGAUCCAGCCAUACCGCGUGGGUGAAGAAGGCCUUCGGGUUGUAAAGCCCUUUUGUUGGGAAAGAAAAGCAGCAGGUUAAUACCCCGCUGUUCUGACGGUACCCAAAGAAUAAGCACCGGCUAACUUCGU